UGAGGCGUUGUUGCGCCAGAAUUUAAGGUAUGUUACUAGGUAUUGCUAUAAGCACAGUGGUAGGCAUGGUAACAUAUGCAAGGCAUAAAACAGGGUAUUAUCGGCACUCCAGUCCAAGUGUAUGUAUAAAAGGCCCUGGGGAGUAGGGAAGAGCAACCAAACAACAACUUGCCCGAGAGCUCUAGGGGGACACCAGGUGGUGUGGCUAUUGCAGCCGUUGCACACUUGCCGAGUUUUCUAGAGGGUUAUUCCCCCGAUGCGCCUUGGUUGGAGGCUGCUGGCAUGUGUGUGCCAAAGUCUCGUGUUGGUCCGGUCUCCUGUUGUCGGGCCUCCGUUAUCCGGUAGGAGUGAGUGUGGGUCCAUGUGCGUCUGCACAGUUGUCCUCAUGCUCUGCAGGGCCGUCUUUAUGCUCUUUUUGCCGCGUGGCUCAUCUCCGAUCUCCUGCUGCCUGUGGCUGUUUUGUUGCCUUCAGCCCUCUGGGCGGUUCGGUGCCGGGGGAACCUGUGCUUCCUCCCGCUUGUCCUCGUGUGGGUGAGUGUGUGGCCCGGUUUCCGGCUCAGCCUCUGGGUCUGUCGGGAACAGGAGGACCUCCAGCUUUUACCAGAAGAUUUGGAAGGCCCUGUUCAGCCGAUGCUCGAUCUCUGGCAGUUCACUGUGAUUGCUGGGGAAGCACACUGCCUCCACCAUUUUGGGUGUUGAGUCAUCGCUUGUGGCAGGCCCCUGUACCAUUGCGGCGCU